CAAAUUAUAAUGAUUUUCUAAAAACAGAACAGGGGAUUUCGGAGUCAUUCCGACACUGUCUCACACAACUUUAAAUAUCUCUUUAUAGGAAAUUUCUUUGCUCACACGGUCUCUUUUACAAGAAACUAGACUAAUUAAGAUUUGAUUACAUAUUUUAUUCAGCCUAUAAUUCCACACCAACAAUUUAUGGUGAUUUUCUAAAACCACGUUACUGCUGCUAUCCUAAGCAAAUUAUUACAAUUUGCU
rnacentral:lncRNA from 1 species